CAAAAAAAAAACAAAAACCAAACAGAAAGUGAAACAUCAUGAUACAUUUCACCCAGUGUAGUAAAUGCAGCAAUACAACUUCAGAAAGUCAAGUUUACAGUCACCUUUAUUCAAAACUGUAUUUCACAUUGAAGGUGGUGUAGCCAUGGGACAAAUUUCCAAAGAAGAGCUGACAAAUCUGACUAUUAGGAAAAGCUAAAAAUUUUCCCUUUUGGAGAAAUUGUUCUGGUGUAGGAAUUCUACAACAUCAACUCCAACUCUUAUCCUUCAAGGCCUAGUAGCUGUAAAGCAGAUAAAUAAACAGGCGUUUACCUAUUGGGAAAUCUGGGAGAAAUGCCAACGGAAGCAAUUGGAGUUUAUUAAUUUUCCUCAUGACUCUUGAGUUCAAGGUAUUUAGAUGCUAUAGAAACAGAAAGAAUGUAAAUGUAUUGCAAUAGUUCUUUACAUGGACAUAGCAUUUAGUACAGCAGAAGUCUUGCCUUCAUUUUUUGACAAGUGGCAUAUGUUAAUAUAGCAAACAUAUUUUGCAGUUAUUCCAAUAUUUUAUUUUGAAUUAGUCACAGAGUAUUUAUAGGAGGAAAAUUCACUGUGUUACAGUAGUGCAGAGAUUUCCCCAAAUGAGAUCAAGGACCUAUUACACAGAUUACUGUGUAUAUGUGUAGAAAUUAUUGAGCAGCUUACAGUCUAAAAAAGCAAGACUGCAAUUAGGAAUGAGAAAGAAAUAUCAUCUACUUUAACACUGCAUAUAGAUUUUUCUUGGGUUUAUGCAGGAAAACAGAAAAUCAGAGGUACAAAUGGGGAUGAUUUUUGUAUCUUUGUAUUCUUAGUUUUGAUCCCAAGAACAUCUUUCCUCUUUGCUGUAUUACAUGACAAGACCAAUGACCUGUCUCAUUGAGGACAGAGUCUCCAGCCCUAGCAGAAGGCUUUCGUGGAACUGAGUUCCAACUGAGUGUUGAGGGUGACUCUUCCCCAUGAGCAGUGUCGUUAGGGUUUACCUGGCUGAAGGACUGCAUCCAGUAGUCAACAUGUGAAGAGCAACUGAUUAUUCUACCCUGCAAAGGUUAGUUCUGUGCCUUUUAACCCCAUUUAUAUUUCUUGUCUCUGUAGCAUCCUGUGACAAAAAGGCCAAAGAUUUAGUUACAUGCUGGGGGAGAAAGUAGCUUCCCAUGUUGCUUUCAGAUCGAUUGCUUCAUUGAGUACCCUCUCUCAUUCUUGUUUUAUGAAAAACAUCACCCACUCAUUUUUCAUUUACCUUGUGCUACUCUUGUAGCCAACAGGCAGCAUGUCAUGGGCUGCUCUAUGGGGUGAUGAGAGAUGAGAGGCAGCGGGUGUUAACUACAGCAUAUAAAACAUAGUACUAGGUCCUCUGUGUGUUGGAUAUGGGGACUGGACUGAGUUUGUCCCGUAUGCCACAGAAAGCUUUAGUGUUGGGACCUUUUGGAGGAAAUCAGGCUCACCCCAUUAGUCACGGUGUCCUAGGGGUGGUGGGCAGUGGUGAUGCAAGGCUGAGCUGGGGAGGAAAUGCUCCUUAGAGGAAGGGACAAGGAAGACACAUGGCAUAUUGUGUGCUGGUAUGCUCAGCUGCUUUGUUUUCAACACCAGCUGCCACAGGACAAAACUGGAAGGGAAAAGGUUAUAAACAGCCAACAGGAGAAUUUUUAAACGUCUUUUUAUUCUUACUGAUUCUUCAAAGAUACUUGAGAAAUCCACAUGUAUUUCCAAAAACCAAGCUUCUUGAAGCUGUGAUGAAGCUGUAAGUCUGAGCCUCGAGCUGAUGGAAAGAUGCCUGCUUGUACUGAGUUCUUGCCUAGAGGUCAUCAAACAGCAGAGCCAGAGAACUUGCAGUUUAAUUUUGCUGUUGACCUCAGUGUAAGCAUCAUUUACGGCUGAGAAACUGAGCAAUUGUCCUUUCCAAACCCAGCUAUGAAGCCCUUGAGAAAACUGUAAGAGUCACUUCUCAGUAGGAGAGAAAUUCAGAAAAGAUUCCCAGAGGCUGACAAAAACCUUGUAAAAUGUGGUUCCAGGAAAAGGUUAAGAGCUGAUGUGAUCAUAGUGUGCAAACCCAUGCAGGGGAGGAAAUGUGUGAUAAUAGAAAGGAAUCAGGGUGUGAUUCAAAGACUGGAAAAGCUGGAUGAGUUCUGACUAGAAAGGUAACAUGAGGUUAUUUAGAAAGUGGGCCACGUUCUCCAGCAGGGGAGGCAAACCUAAGAGGCUUCACUUCCAGUCCUUACCUAUGCAGUGAAUUCCCCUAUGUACAUGCUGCAAUUCUGGCUCUGGUGUAAAAACAGCUAAGAGAGUUUCUUUGGCCUGUGUCAUGUGGGAGAGCAAACCAGAUUCUUGCAAACCUUCCAAAUUCCACCUGUCACCCUGGUCCUCACCACCUGUCAGCCCGGUGAAUUACCUUCUGUGUGUCUCACAGACUGCUCUGUUGGGUUAAGGACUCUGUUGAGACUUGUUUUCUGCAGAAAGAAGCUUUUAUCUAUCUUUUAUCUAUCUAUCUAUCUAUCUAUCUAUCUGUUUAUUUAUUAAGAAAUAUUGCUUAAACAGUUAAUCUUAGAGCCCUGGAAAGAAAGUCAAUAUACCAGCACAGAAGCUGUGAUUACUUUCCAAAUGUGUUUUCUUUCAAUCUCAGCUACCAUACAGAGCCAGUAAAAGCUGCAGUGGCUUUUUUUCUGAGGAACUUUGGAGCAAGUUUUGCACACAUGAGGCUGCCAGAGAUGAAGCUCGGUUCUUGCUUGUCAAUCAUUAGACUAAGAGCUGGCAGGUUAAAGGGGUAAAAGGUGUGGGAAAGUUUGCUCUGGACAUUUGGAGAAAUUACGAGGUCCUAGUUUUUGCUCAAGCCAUGAGAAAACCUAAAGAACAGGGCAGGAGGAUCUAUCACCUGUUUCAUCUUGGCAUACAUGCUCUGCCUUAGUUCCCACACUCUGGAAAUGGAAAUAAGAUGAAUUUGUCUGUAAGAGAAGGAGAAUUCUUUUCCCCCAAAAUCACAUCUAAGUAUGGAUAGGCAAGUGUAGAAGCCAACAGUAUUAAUUAGUGGUACAUUUCAUUGUUAAUUUAAUAAUGAAUUAAGCCAAAUGCUUGAUUGUAUGGUGUUUUAAUUAUCAAUCCAUUGUGCCCAGUCGUAGGUAUUGUGUGAUGUCAAAUUUUGGCAAGAAAUGUGAAUUCUUGGGUUAGGCUCCCCCCUUGUGGUUCUGCUAUGAUUUGCAAGGAGGGAGGAGGGACUGUGAAAGGUUGGUUGACCGUGUUUCUGAACGGGGUUGAGUUGGCUUUCUCUCCAAUUUCUAAUAAGCAUCUUUCCCUUCCUUCUUGGACUUCAUGUGGACAGCAUUUCACUGUAGUAGACACUUUUAAGUUUUUUUGUUUGUUUGUUUUUUGUUUUUAAUUUGAUAGAAUUCCGAAUCUGACUCCUGGCUGUGCUCUGGACAGUGUUUGAAUUGUUGUACUGCUGUGCUUUGUGCUCUGUGACUUGUCUUAUAGGGAAAAACAGCCUGGAAUUUAAAUCCUCCUUUGUGCUGCUGUACAUUUGGAGAAGUAUCAGGUUAUGUUUUAACCCUAUUAGCAAAUUGUAACCUUAAAACUGUUCCUGCAAGGAUUUCAGAUAAUGCAUUACAUUAGCAUCCGAAGCAUGGAGAACUAGUAGCAAAUAGGUGAAACAAGUAUCACUCUACUUUGUUCAUAUUCCUGCAAGCUGGUUAACUUCUAUGUCACAGAUUUUAAAUAUCAUAGAAUCAUUAAAUCAUAGAAUCAUAGACUCCUUACAGUUGGAGGGAACAUUUAAAGGUCAUUUAGUCCAACUCUCCUGCAGUGAACAUGGACAUGCACAGCUAGAUCAGGUUGCUCAGAGCCCCAUCCAGCCUGACCUUGGAAGUCCCAAGGGAUGAGGCUUCCACCAUCUCUCUGAACAACCUGUUCCAGUGCUUCACCACCCUCACUGUAAAAGACAUUUUCCUUAUAUCUAACCUAAAUCUAAUCUCUAUAAGCUUGAAACCCUUGUUCUAUGACUACAGACACUGCUAAAGAGUCUGUCCCCUUCCUUCCUGUAGCUGCCCUUUAGAUACUGAAAGGCUGCUCUCAGGUGUCCCUGGAGCCUUCUCCAAGUUGAACAUCCCCAGCUCUCUCAGCCUAUCCUUAUAGGAGAGGUGUUCCAUCCCUUGGAUCAUUUUUGUUGCCCUCUUCUGGAUGCGUUCCAACAGGUCUAUGUGUUUCCUGUACUGUGGACUUCACAUCUCACAUGUAGUAUUCUGGGUGAGGCAUCACCAGCCCAGAGCAGAAGGGCAGGAUCACCUCCCUUGCCCUGCUGGCCACGUUUCUUUUGAUGCAGCCCUGGAUACAGUUGGCUUUCUGGGCUGCAAGAGCACAUUACUGGCUCAUGUCCAGCUUGCCAUGCACCAAUACCCCCAGGUACUUUUCCUUUUUGGCAUGGCAUGCUUUAUCCUCAAAUAAGUCUUUUGUUGUCUGGUUUGUACUCGCAAAUGGAGAAAGUAUUCAGGCUAAACAGUUCACUUAUGUUUAGUGGCUUCCCAAGUCUUGUGAUCAAGGGCUGACCCCACUUCUUAGAGAAUCAGGAUGGAUUAUAGUGACUGUACCUAUCUGUGGAUGCUGCCCCAUGACAGCAUGGCAGCAAUUCUGCAGGCUGUGUGGGGUCUAAAGCUGGAACUCCUGAACUGGAUUUAGGCUUGUUGUCUCUGGGAGCACACAAAACCCUCCAGCUGGAUUUAACUGAGAGUUUUCCAUGUGUGCUGAUAAGUCAUGGCCUGAGUUAGCUGCAGUUCCUCACUUCUGACCAAAAAUACUCCAUGGAUGCUAGUGUUCUCUAAGCCUCUCUUUUACAGUGAAUCAAUGAAAAUGCAUCCUGUGAAGCAGAAAGACCAAGCAGACUGUCUGGGUCUGUAUCAGUUUUAGAGCCCUAUUCUUUGCCACUAUCUGAACUCAUUUAGUAGACAUCACAGCUCCUGGUACCUACCUCCAUGCUCCAGGGCAUAACUACCUUGUAAAAUGACAGAAAAACCUCUUUUGGUAGGCUAAAGCCCAAAUCUGAAAAAAGUAGAGAAUUCCUGGGUCAUGGCUGAUAUACUGCAGGGAGAGAGGGUGGUUAACCUUGGUUUUUUUUUGGACAUGGGUGCUUUGCACUACUUGCCUUGGAUGCAUCUAGCAUUUCUGUCAGUGAGUCCCAUCACAGGGGCUUUAUAUGCAGUAUGACAUGUGGCUGUACCCUGUGAGCACGUUACGAGUGCUGCUGUUCUCCAAGGUUCAUGCCUGGAGUCCUGCUACAGGCACGGGGACCCUCUCCAUUUCUGCAGACACUGUGGGGAGGUGAGGUGAUGCCGUUGCCCUGAAUGUUAAAAUAAAGGAAUAAUGACCUGUGUAAUUCUGAAGCUUUGAAGCUUUUCCAGGAGGAACUGACUGCCUUGGAAAAGCUUUGCGCUCACUAAGCUUCUGCAGCACCUGCAUGCAUACAAUCCAUUUGAGAGGUUUGGUCACUAGAGGGAGUCACAGACUCUAAGAAAUAAACAAAUAAAACCAUUUGUCUUUCCAUUGCAUAAGUGUGUCAUAGCUACGUCAAUGGAAAGCCUCAAGAUUUCCUCUAAUUUCACUUUCAGUGUCCUUUAGAUCCUUAGCAAAUUUCCCGUAGCUGUGGGGAUUUCUGUUUCCAAGCUAUAUAUGACAAGUGAGGACAGGAUUUCUUGUGCUGUCUUGAAACUAAAUGAAGUCAUCUGGCUGGAGUUGACUCAACGCAAUGUCCCUGCCUCAUUCCUCUUCCCACCAGCCCUCAGCACCGACCUGCAUACUUCCCUCCUACUCUGUCUGAUUUUGAGCACUCAUCUCACCCUGCAUUUAAUGAGUUAUGGAAAUGAGAAGGGAAACACUAAUAAUGCAUAUCAUACCCAUUUUUAGUGAGCUGAAUUAGCUCAGUGAGAAGUCUGAUGAAUAAACAGUUGAGCCAGUACAAGGGGAAGGUAGAAGCUUAUGGUCAGAGUGAUGGCUCUCCCUUUUUGGAAAAGAACCCAACUGCCUCAUCCAGCUAUAAUGAGUAACUUCAGUUGCAACCACUCUUCCCCAUGCCCUGCAGGAAACAUGCAGUGCUUCACUGGUACCACUGGUUUGUACCAUGAGAAAUAUAAGUGUUUUGCUCACAGGUUCUUAUCUUUUUUCACUCAUCUCCGUUAGAGAAUGGAGACUCAGUCACUUUUCCUGGUGAAGUGGAAAGAAUCUCAAGAAUAAAUUGGAUUCUCUGCUCACUUUUCUGUUUUCUGCUUCUAAACAUCCAUUGACUUCACUUGAAAUAGCCCCUCAUUCUAUUCAUGAGUCAGAAUCAAACUCUUAGUAGGGUCAAUGGAGCUCUGCUGACUUGUAUUAUUUGAAACUGUGGGACUUUGUGCAUGAACAGGAUAUAUAUUGUGUCCCUAAUAGCACAGUAAUAAUUUGCAUUAUUUCUGAUACUCCUUUCACUUGAUUUGUCCCAAUUUUAGCUUCCAAGCCAGAUCCCCUGCCGUUAUGAUGUGAUCUCAAAGACCCAUAGACUACAGUGGUCUGAAUGAGGAAUCAAACCUACACUGUUAAGAAAUACAAACCCAGUAUAUUUUAAAUUUGCAUUUAAGUGCCCUCCUGCAUGUUUUGUAGCUCAGGCUGAAAAACUUCAAAAGCUUAGCGUAUGCUAAAAUAUAUGAAGGUAAAAAUGUGUAAAAAACAGAAUUAUGUGUUGAUUGUGAGCUGCUUUUCAGAUCGAACAUGAGGCGCUAAGAGGGAAGCUUAGUUAUAGGUUUGAGCAGCCUAUAGGAUGUGGUAAGGCGUUUCUUAUUUUUGGAAGGAAAUGUGGAUAGCAGCAUAUCUGGUUUCUGAGAGAGUUUUAGGUUUUUCAGGAGUGGAAUUGCAUAAGAACAAUUAAAGCUAAGAGAUGGACAGCUAUACAGGAGACCACAGUAAAUGCUAUUUUUGAGGUGCUAGCCAAUGUCAUAGAGUUUAUAAGCACCAUUUGUCAAAAGUAAUAGUAAGGAAACACUUUACAUCUGAAUUGCUAUGGGAAACUCUGUAUUCUUCAGUAUUCAUCUCAUUCCAGUUUUUCGACUUGGAUCUUACUCAAGGUCUCUGAAGUCCUGUGUCUGGAUUUCAAAGGAAAUGAGCUGGGAGACCUGGGACAGAUAGCAAGAUCUAGAGUCAGACUUCAGGAACAAUGAGCUCCCACAAGUCCACAUGAAAUCAACUGCAGUCUUAUUCCACACUUCUGUAAAGCCAUCCCUGUUCUUCUUCUACCCCCAUUCCUACCUUUGAUGAGAGUUUAGGAGUUGAAGUUUUGGCCUUAGCAUUUUUCUUCACUAAUAUUGUUGAUGACUGAUUUACUGUGGCAAAAGCACGGACCAACAACUGAUGCUUUUUCUCUCAUAGCAUUAAAAGCUGCUUCCCCACAGUUCCUCUCAAAGCAGCAGCCACCAGCCUAUUUUGAAGCUUGGAAGGCUACAGAGCCAUGACUAACCUUGUUAGUCCAAGUAAUUGGCUUCCCUGAAAAAUUCAUUGCUUUGUUUAUGCUAUAUCUGGUUUUGUUUGGAUCCAAGAAGUUAAUGAGUGCAGAAUUUGGUCAUUAUUAUCCUACUUAAUCUACUGUGAAUAAGCAUCACCUACCUUAUAUUUUCAGAGAUCUUACACCAAGCCAUUCCAGCUAAAUCCAAGUCAUUCAUAAACACCUCAGGUCAAACACCAAAAUCAGUUACAAAUACUGAAGAUGUAUUUCGAUCAGAAGAACAAAUCUGCUUCUCUUUUUUAAUAUUUUAAUAAGGGUCUAAGAAAUUGCUUCUCAGAUUUCUUUUUUUAGCUGCCGUAUCAGCCAGUUUGUGACAUACCUCAUCAGCUUUCUUAUGAAGGCAGGACAAGACAGCCAUUGUGCUAGGGCUAUGUUCAUUUAAAUAACUGCUCUCUUUUUGAGACCUUUGAGCAUUACAUAGAAAAGGAGACUGGAAGAGAAGUAACAGCUUUUGCUUUUUUUAAAGUUUUUUUUUUCCUCUUUUUUUUUUUCUUUCUGGAUUGAAAAUAUAUAAAUUUUCUUUCUAUAAUUCUGUCAAAACGGUUUUCAUUUUCCUUUGCUUUCAACAAUGAUGGCAAAGCAGCAGAUGGAGGGGACUGCGAGUGCUGGGUUUGUAUCACACUUCACCAGCAGAGGUCAGGCUGAAACUCCUAUUUAUUUGUGAUUCUGACCUGUUUUAUUCAGACAGACUUUCAUCUUAGUAACUGAAAGUGCAAAAGACUUAAAGAACAUCUACUGCCUUCCUUCUGUUCCUGGGAGAUUGUAUCCUUCCAGAGUAUUUUCUUGCUGUCUGUUUUCUGGUUCUGCUGAUACUCUUCAGAAGCAGGAGAGUGCAGCACAACAGGUAUGAAGACUUUCCUGAUAAUCAAUCUGGAAUUACCCUUUCUUUUCAUCUCAGCACUCAUAUCAUACUUCCCGUGUGACACCCCAAGUCUAAGCAUAUAAAAGGGUGUAUUUCUGAAGGGGAAGAUUUUGUCUUAACAGAUUAACCCAGACAAGUUACAAGCAGAUUGGACAAGCAGCAGCUGAUUUUCAGGACACCAAACAGGUGAUCUUUAGGGUGACAAUGCAGAAAUGUCAAGUGCCUGCUCUUGUAGCAACUGUGAAUGCCUAGAUGAUGAAGUGAGUAAUGAAACCUUCAACGGUACAAGAAAGAAAGGGUGAUAAGUUCAGAAUCUCUACAAAUAUCCCCACUUUUCCCUCAGCUUCUCACCUCCCUUGCUGUGUGAUAGGUAAAGCAGCACUACUGCUGUGUAAUACCAAGGCCAAUCUCACUCACAGCCUAAUCUAGCCUACUGAACAGUUUGUGCCACUGCAGCCUUGCAAAGCUAUUCAAAACUCUUUAGUUCUUUACAGUUCUAGGUGCUUAGUUCCAUUAGAUACUAAAGCCCAUGUAGAAGGAAGUUGCCACAACAGCAACCUGGCUUGUGGUAGGAGAAGCUGACCAAUGUACUACAGAAGCUCAGCACCUCCAUCUUGUGAGAGCACCACUGUGUUCCACCAUAGCUGAAGACCCUGAGCAAAUUAGAGGCAAAUGGUUAACAAAGGAUCACAACAAAUAGAGCGCAGAAAAUAAACCUUACAGCAAUGGAAGUCAGAGGUUUGUCCAUUACCAGGGUUUAACUAUCGUCUGAGCAGCAAAGUGUUGUCUGUGACUGUUGUGUGGUCCUAGGCUUGGAUCCUGUGUUCUGAGUCCUUAGGCACAAGACAGUUAGAGGAAAACUGGAUCAGAUCAGACUUUCUUCUGUCAUACUAGGUUAACGUGUUUCAUCAACUCCAGGGAGUGCCUGAGGAAUAGCAGGAUAGUCACACACCUAGCCUGCUCAAUCUGUAGUUGCCCAAAUGACUGGCAGUCAAUCAGUCUGCACUGAGAGAUGCUUAUAGCUGCCUUGGAUGCUUAUAGCUUGCCUUGCUCAAUCUGGUAGGAACUGAAAUGAGGCUGUAGGAUCAUAUCACAUUAUCUGCAAGAUAUUCUGAUGAUCUGCAGUGGAUUUGAGCCAGUAAUUUAGAGUUGAUUUGCUCAACACUUUUAACAGUCAUGGAUCUUGGCUAUGGUAAUGUAAUUUUACAGUGGUAGUGAGGACCCUGCCAAUAGAUGUUUGGCUCCUCUUGUAUCUUGUUAUCAGCCAGGAAGCUGAUAAUGGCUAAAUCCUGAUUUUCUCAGUAUCACACUUGCAGAGAAUCGUAUCUAACCUUUAAAUGCUCCCUGUCACAACUAGACCAGAGAAACCAACUGGAAUCCCACUACUCCCACUUUGUCCAGAGACCAACUCAUUAGCCGUGUGACUUGUUAAACACAAUUCUGUCAAACUUUGUUCUUCAGCUCACAUUACUCAUAUAUUAAUUAAAGAAACUUCUACUUGCUCCCUUCAGGAUCGUUACAUCUCUCUGCAUUUAUGCUGUGGCAGCAAAAGCUAAAGCUUGGAUUGUAAUCACAAAGAAAUUAACUUGCUGAUUAAAAAUAGUCCUUUAAGCAACAUGCAUUUGAAUAAUCCAUCAUAAAAACAAAUUAGUCUGGAGCAAUGCUUUUGACUUGAUAAUCUUUUUUUCUGCUUAAAAUUUAAAUCAAUUGCAUUUUUUUCUCUUAUUCUAGAGCCUGUAGAAAAAUACAAUGAAUUGCUAAAAAGAAGGCAAUAGUUCAAACUGCAAUAGCUGUAGUGUUGAAUAUAGAUUUUAGAUCUGUCGCUGCAAGAUAGAUUUGUAUGUCAUAGUCCCAAUUUUCAGCUGUGGUGCCUUCAGGCAAUUGCACUGACAUUAGAUACAUUACACAAAAUGCAAGUUAAUGCAGAAAAUUUGCUUUUAUAUAUUUGCAAAGAAUUUUGAAGAUAAAAGAGAUGCACAUGCCAGAGCUGAUCGAGUUUUUCUUGAGGUCUGUAGAGAAGGUCCUGGUCCAGGAGCUGCUGGAUCAGGUCUGAAUGAAUGCAGCAGAACUCUGCUUACAGACUGAAUCUAUCUGGAAAGGAAUGACUGCCUGUUAGCACUAGGAAGUUAUUCACAGACAGCACGUGCUUUCCUCUAAGGAGGAUCUGCGGUGAGGAAUGAGUCAUGCACUGUGAGUCUUCCCUGUGUGUGGAUGCCAGGACCUUGGUGCCACUCUCUGCUGACUCCAUCAGAUGCGAUGACCAUCCCUGCUGUCAUCCCAUGCCACGUGUAUGCGUUCAGUCUUUGAAAUAGCUAUGAGAAGGGUGUGCACAUACAAAUGUGGUAGAAGAAAAAGGAGGGACUGCACAGAACUGCUUUUCCAGAGAUCUUAAGCAUCCCAGAGAUCCAGUGGAGCAGAGGAAAGCUGUGACAGCUUGGCAGCACCACAGCCAGUGUGCCUGUAGCUCCACUGCUGCCAGUGCAGCAGCACAGGGCACGCAUAUUCUUCCACUUGCAAUCCACAGAGAGAGGUGUGUGAUACAGAAAGGGGAAUUUGGCUCCAAGGUAAAUUUCUCAAGAAAUCUUUCUUGAAAAUUAAGACCUCUGUGGUAUGUUUUAAAAUUAUUUUCAAUAAAGGCUGUAGUUUUUCUUUUCAUCUUGAUACUCUUCCAGGCUCUCAAGCUUCAAUGUUAAACAAAAAAAUGAGUCAACUCUGAUUCAGUCCCAACACAGCACCUGGCUCUGAGAGCAUCCACUGCUUGUCCUGAUUCUUCAAACCAUGUGUCCAACAGCUUUACCUACACAUCUACCUCUUUGAUUUGCAGCCUUCUGUAUCCUUGUUGAUUGGUUGGUUUAUGCUUUUAUGUUAUUGUGUGUUUGUUACUUUUUUUUGUCUCCAUGUGUGAAAAUAUUAUAGGUUCUUUUGUAAAUGCAUUCAAAGUGAUUUUCCAGUCACUACAGCUAACUUGUGGUAAUUCUGGCCUUGCAGGCCAAACAUAUGAAAAAGAUUGUUCCAGUAAGGUCUCCAUAAGUUGAUCAAAGCCUGCUGAAAUUGAACAUGUAGAGCUGUUUGGUUGGUGACUGAGCUGGAGAAAACUCUCAAAGAAGGCUGCCAUUCCAAUAUACGAAGAACUGUAACAUCUCUUUUUCAGAAGAAAAUGAAGGUAAAUUUCAGAAUGCCAUGUUGUGUAGCAGUUUUUCCAUGACAUACAGCUAUUUUACACUAAAAAUGGGCCCCUUAGUAAUAAUUUAUGGAAUCAGAUUGAAGCACCAGGACUGACAGAUGCAACGUGAAGAGGAAGGCUGAGCAGUGCAAGGUUUAAUGCAGUCACUUCACUACAUUUCACUCAGGGUGUAAAUAUUAAAACCACCUGAGUAGUUAAUAAACUGUGGUGUAGCAUUUUCAGUAGCUAGAAGUGUUAUUAUUCUGCUAUUUCUAUAGAUAAAAUGGACCACGCAGGGAAAAAAACCCAAAAUUGUUGUCAAGGUGUAGUUUCAAUGGAUGCUGUUGAAAGUGGGAUUUUUAUUUUGGAUAUGACUGCUGUUUAUGAAUACCCACAGAUAAUUCAAUAGAAGAGGAGAAAAAAGUUGGUAGUCUUGCUUGUCCAAAACCUUCCUCUUUGAUUCCCACAGGCAUAUGCAGUUGGCCUACAGCUAAGUCUGCUGGGCAUGGCAGUUUCUUGGAAUAUUUGAUGUGGGUUUGUGGUAACUGCAGUAGAAAAUUUAAUUAAGAGGCAUAAACUCUACAAAUGGGUUCAAUAUGCCUACUGAUCUUUCUCUUUUAUUCUUUUCACUUUUCUAUCAAACUCUAUUUUCUCCAAGGAUUAUUAAAAUGUUAAAAUAUUGGGAAUUAUUUUGUCACUAUCUGUUUUGUACCCCGUAUCUUAGUUUCAUCUUGAAGCAGUAUUGUGCAUCUGCUAUGCAUAAGUAUUUAUAAAACGUCUCACACAAUUUUUGUAACUACUGUAGAAAGAAUCCAUGUUUUGUUACAUUAAAUAUAGGAUUAGUAUUGCAACUAUUCCCUUAAUAAUGAAAAGUUGCUGCUCUUCCUUUAAAAUACUCUAGCACUCUGGAAUAUGUUUCAGUAAGUUGCUCUGUGUCUCAGAAAUUAAUAAUUUCAGCCUUUAUUUUAAGUCAGCCUCUUCCUGUGUCACUGUAUCGUACAGAUACAAUUCUCUUAGCUUUGUUUAGAGAAAUACUUUUGACAAAAUAGAUCCCAUUUUGUGAGCGUGUUAAUGAGAGAAGGAGCAAUUUCUACUGCUGAAAGGCUGGAUUAGAGUUUUAGCCUCAGCAGAAGGCUUGGUUAUCUACAGAAAGGUCAUUCAGUUUCUGUCACAGAUUAGACUGCUUCCAAUAGCUGUCAUAUAUAUUACUUUUUCCACUUACAUCUGUGUAAGCAAGUAGAAGGACGAUGCACAAAACUUAUGUGUUAUCAAACCAGUCUCCAUUAGAGAGUAGGAGACCUCCACUAGGGAGAGUCUAGCAAUUUUUGACAGUUAAACUCAUCUUCCUUCACCAGAGAAUUCAUGCAGAGUAUAUUUCUGCUGUUAGAAUAUGUUCUUAUUGCAAAUGAUAAAUCCCUGAGAGAAAAGUUUGUCAUGGAAACACUGACUGCUCCUUAAAUGACUAUGCAACAAGAAUGCUAGGCGAUGCUUAUGAAAAACUAGGGCAUAUUUCACAAUUAGAUCUACCAAUCCUACCUUUAUAUGGACAAGAGGAAAUUAAUGGUUCAGCUUCAACCCAAAAGCAAAGCCAGCCAUGCUGGCUGUAUUGCACCGAUCACAAAGUUGGUCCAAGAGUUUAGUUAUAUCCAGCUUUCCAAAGAUCUUACAAUCUAACUAGUAUCAGGCAGCCAGGGGAAUCAUGGAAAGAAAAACAGUACCGUAGGAUGUGGCACUUGUGAUUCAGCAGAUGACAUUCUUCACCCUGAGUCAGUCAUGCAACAACAGCCAGCUUCCCUGCUGGGCUGCUCUCCUGCAGGUGAGUCCCAGCACUGAGGCUCUGAGAGCUGACUUCUGCAUGCCAUGAAAUGUUGGUUGACAUUUGUCACAAGAAUAGCAGCGUCUGUCUUGGGUUUUGGUUAUAUUACAAACUGGGUAAUCACCUUAACGUCUUGCCUGCUCUAAUUACCCAUGGUUGUUUCUUCUGUGCUUCCUUCCUCUUGCUCUGUGUCAUGCUGCUGGCACAGUUGCAAAAGCUGCUGCAUUUCUAGGGGUGAUGAAUUCUGCUUGAUGCCCAAUGGGAUCUGGCUAGAUUUCAGUGAGUGCUGAGAUGUUUCUUCUGUGUUGUUCCCUUUUAGCUUGUAGCUCUACUGAAACAAAACAAAUUAUUUGCCUUUCAUAUUUUGAAAGUGGUGGAGUUCUUGUCAAAAUAGGGAUACCACUUGCCUGAGGUGCACUGGAGACAUGUGCUGUACCAGUAAAUAAUACAUAGCACCACAGGCAUCCAAGAGCACAAAGUACAAUAGGGUUCCACUCCCAUGUAGUUGGCUGGAGUCAGUUAUUAUAGUUUAUUUCUAGCAUAUACUUGAAGCACUACCAGCUAAUUGUUAGCUGUGUGUGUCUACCUCAGGAACACUCAGCACAUGAUCACAAAGAAUGAGCACUUCACUCUUUGCAGCUUAUUUUUUAAAUAAGGCUUUUUGUAAACAUGGAAGAAUAAGCAUUGCAAUUAAUGCUAAGGACCAAAGUUUGCUAGGUAAUAAAAGCCCAAAUAAACAUAGUUCUGCUGAACGUAAGUUGAUUUUUUAUCUAGAAGGCUGUAAUAAUAACUGAUUUAUUUUCAGUGGAAACUACUUAAUCAAGUGUAAAUUUUAAAAUGACUCUGAGGCUCAGAAAAUGUACAACAAUAUCUGUUUUCAGUUGAUUUUUAUGGUGACAUAGUGGAAAAUCUGAUAGAACUUCAGCCACUGCCUUGCUAUCAAAUGCUGCUGUAAUUCCAAAUGAACACGACUUGUUAUCUGCUUGCUCAGCUGCUUGCUUUGCUUUCACUGUGAUGUGGAAAAAUGUUGGUUCUUUGGUAAUUUUAUUAAUUUUACUGCCUGAGAAUGGUUCUUUUGAAAUUAUUCUUCUAAUCAAAACAUGUAGCAGAAAACAUUCUUUUACUUGUUAGAAACUUGAUCUCGGUAAGUAUUGAGUGUCUUUUUGCUUGGUUCUGUAGGUCUGAAAGAGCUGAGCACUCAAUGACUCACAAGACACGUUGGCACCUGGCAGAGCCGUGCCCUUCAUCAAUCUAUGUGGUGCCUGGUGGUUUCAGUUGGCAAAAAUUUAUGCAAACUGUUGCCUUUUAUUGUAUUAUACAUUCCAGGCUAAAUGGCUUUGCAAGCCUGGAAGCUUGCUUUGAGCUUCAAAUUCAAGUGUUUCUGAGGCAUUAAUGUAAAAAUUUCUCAAGGUAUCACAUGUCUUGACUUUCACAAUGAAAGCAAACAAACGGUAAAUUUCCUAAAAUUUUGGUGAAAGAAAACUAUGCAGUAUCAUUAUGUUUGCAAUUCAGAGCAGAUUCAGAGGCUAUGUCAAUAUUAACGGUCCUUUUGAUACAAAUGCUGUGAGUUAGGAAUCGCUUUCUAGAUCCCAAUCACAGCACACCUCAUUGAAACCCUGAAACAAGCAAUAUCAAUAUGGUCACAGUCAAAACUGUUUCACUCAGUUCUGUUAGUAAGGGGCCAGCCUGCAUCUAGCUUUUGCCAAAACUCCCACUAAAGUCAACAGAACUUUGGAGCACUCAGCAAGCAUAUCAUCUUACUUCAAUUCCUCAGUUAUUCUUUGAUCAUUUACAGAUUCUCAAUGCUGGUACCUGUGCAUUUAUGCAGGUCCUUUUAACCACUUCAUCCAAACUGGCAACUUAUCCUUUCACAACUACGAGUGUACUAUGAGUACAGGAGUACUGUCUUAAGCACUGCUUUUGUGCAAAGACUGUAAGUGAAUGCACAUGAAACUAUAUCUCAAGGCAAGAACUUAAGCCUUAAGAAUGUCGUUUUAAAAUGGGCCAUGAGUUCCAUUUCAGGUAUGAUUUUCUGGAGCUGAGGACUGUCUGCAUUGCAGAGCUGAUUUCAGUUAUCUUUUUAUAGUCUACUAUAAACCUAAAUAUACAUUAUAUCCUGACAUUAUGCAUGAUGAUACUUUUAACUUGAGAUAUUGAUCCAUAUUGCCAGAGAGGCUAAUCCAAGCUUUGGUUAACACAGCUCAUUAGUUAUUAACAGGACUCAAGCUGCCUCCUUUUCCUUGCUGCUGUUCCUUCGCUGUCUUCCCAAAACUCCUCUCUUGCACAAAAAGGCAGGGAAGUUUUCUCUCAAUUUGCACAGAAGCAUUUCAGACCUACAAGUUGUAUGUCCAAAGACUGAGAGCAUGUCCUGUGGCCCCACAGGGCUUCACACCAUGCACAGAUGGCUUCAAUCCAAAGAAAGCAAUUCAGGUGGCACUUCAAAGGGUGACCAGUACUGGAUCUAAGCACGAGGAUAACCUGAGCUUAGAUAACGUAAUAACAAAGUCAAGUUAUUCUCCCAUGUUCUUCAAAGUGUUACUGAAAUGUCAGUGAGACUUAAUCCUUUUGUGCUCUUCAGCACCCGUAAAAAUCAGACCACAGCUCUUUCUGUGCUGAAGCAAAAAUUCAAAUUUUUCAACAGCAACCUCCAAGUGAGGAACAAACACAGGGAAUGUUGUAUCCCGGGACCUCAUCUACAGGUUGCAUAUUAAACAGUUCCUAAAUGAAAAGGUGGCUCACUGUGCUAUAAACUAAAGUCAUCAUUUUGAGACCUACAGCCCACCGGAACGAGGGGACAGGAUGGAGUGGCCUUUUCCAGUAUUCUCCACCCACUGACCUAGAGUAUGAAACCCACAGAGUUCUUGGAACUGCAAACAGUGUUUGAAUUCAGACUAAAACUGGAAAACAGAAACAGGCCUUUUUUUUCUUCUUCUUCUUCUUCUUCUUCUUUCUUUUUUUUUCUUUUUUUUUUUUUUAGUCACAUCAGUCAAUGCUAUUUACAAAAUUGGUUUAUGGAGACCACAGGUGGACACUCUGACUCAUUACACAUGAAUACUAAAUAUAUCCAAGACGAUCUUGGAAAAUCCCAUAAAGAAAGAGGGAAUAGCCAUCUGAUUUUUAUAUUUAUAACCUUGGGUUUUGGAUGCCAGUAAUGGAAAUUACAUUGUUUUCACAAAAAGCAGGUGAGGGACAGUAAGGGACUGAAUGAUUGCCAGGCUGCGUGUGGCUGGAAGGAGAAGGCCCUAAGCGAGGAGCUAAGUCACAGAGGAAGGUUUGUCAUGCUGUAGUAGUUUGCCAUUCGCACUUGUGGCAGGCUGUGGUGAGGUUAGCAAUGCAUUCCACAGUUGUUAGGAGUUAAGCAAAUGUUGUGUCCUUUAGCCAGAGAGAAAAGCACACCUGCCCAUGGAGCUGGCAUAAAAUUCAUUACUGCCCUCGUCCUACAUGGAGAAUUUGAGUAGUACUUUCAGCCUCAUAUCCUGCCACACGUUUCAGUCUCUCUGAUCUUGAAAACCAGGAAGGUCCAAGGUCUGUAAUACAUGCAGGGAAGCAGAUAAAGGAUCCCUUUCUGUUUAUCUGUCUUCUGUUUUGAUGGAUGUUUUAGUGCCAAAGCUUCUCUUAUUCUCGCUGCUGGAGGAGAGCUAUUGCUAGACUUCCUACCAUCCGUAGGCUGGCUUUGUGAAAUGCAACAGGAUGAAACUGAAACAAGACAUAGCAUUUCUAGCCUGGAAGCUUAAUUCAUACGUAAGCUGAGAAACAGUGCAUGUAAGGAGGAACUAACUGAGGAAUGAGUUCGUUAUUCUAAUCUAGCCAGUUUCCUGAAUGACCACUAAAGUAAAUAAACUAGAUGCCAAAAUGCAUUUGUUUUUACUUAUAGAUCACCCAAAAGUAUACUGUGGGUUUUUGAUGGUUCUUAUUACCAAGAUCCUGAGCCAAAUCCUUCAUAGACAGUGCAGAGCAGCUCCUCACUGCUCCAGUCUUCGAAACAGCCCCAAGAAAGAAUUUCUCUGCCGCUACUGCCUUGUUGAGAGCAGCAGUGAGUGGGGGGCCACAAACAUGGGCACGAUAAGAAAAUAUCUAUGCAGACUCAAAUUAGCUAAUCAUAAUUUUUGUAUUCAAAGCUGUAUAGCAGAUAAAUAUCAAUGGUCUUCCUACUGAGAUUUGGCUCAGCUAGCUGGUCCUUUAUCAAAUUGGGCACUGCUUCAGAGAAGUCACUCUUCUGUGUCCUGAAUGACUAGAAUUUAGGAAAUAGAGAUGGAAAUACCCAGCUAGCAUAUCUGGCUUGCUGUAGUCAGUUCCUAAUGAGCUCUGCAUUUAUCCUCUGUCUCUGUAAUGGUCCUUGCAGCCUGCAACUACAGUACUCGUACUGAAAGUUUCUGCUUCUUGACUUCUUCUCAGAGGAGUUAAUUCUUCAGCAUUUUAUGCUUGUUUUUCAUCCAUUAGUACUAUCUACUUCAAUAGGCUUAAAAUAAAAUAUAUUUUUUUAAAUACUCACGAUGUUGUUGUUU